rnacentral:rRNA from 1 species
GGCCCGAUCAUGGCUCAGAUUGAACGCUGGCGGGAUGCUUUACACAUGCAAGUCGAACGGCAGCACGGACUUCGGUCUGGUGGCGAGUGGCGAACGGGUGAGUAAUGUAUCGGAACGCCUAGUAGCGGGGGAUAACUACGCGAAAGCGUAGCUAAUACCGCAUACGCCCUUCGGGGGAAAGCGGGGACCUUCGGGCCUCGCACUAUUAGAGCGGCCGAUAUCGGAUUAGCUAGUUGGUGGGGCAACGGCUCACCAAGGCGACGAUCCGUAGCUGGUUUGAGAGGACGACCAGCCACACUGGGACUGAGACACGGCCCAGACUCCUACGGGAGGCAGCAGUAAAUUUUGGACAAUGGGGGAAACCUGAUCCAGCCAUCCCGCGUGUGCGAUGAAGGCCUUCGGGUUGUAAAGCACUUUUGGCAGGAGAAGAAACGGCACGGACACAACGUGCAACUGACGGUACCUGCAGAAGCUAAGCACCGGCUAACUACGCCAGCAGCUGCGGUACGUAGGGUGCAAGCGUUAAUCGGAAUUACUGGGCGUAAAGCGUGCGCAGGCGGUUCGAAAGAAAGAUGUGAAAUCCCAGAGCUAACUUGGAACUGCAUUUUUAACUACCGAGCUAGAGUGUGGGUCAGAGGUGGAGGUGGAAUUCAUGUGUAGCAGUGAAUGCGUAGAUAUGCGUGAGGAACACGGGCGUAGCGGCAGCUUCCUGAUAACACUGACAAGCCAUGCACGAAAGCGGCACAGAUUAGAUACCCGUAGUCCAUACGCCCCAAACGAUUUCAAUCAUUGUUGCAUUCCCGGGCCUUGGUAGCGCAGCCAACGGCGGUGAAGUUGACCGCCUGGGGAGUACGGCUCUAAGAUUAAAACUCCAAAGGAAUUGACGGGACCCGCACAAGCGGUGGAUGAUGUGGAUUAAUUCGAUGCAACGGUAAAACUUACCAUCUUGACAUGUCUGGAAUCCCGAAGAGAUUUGGGAGUGUUUGUAAGAGAACCGGAACACAGGUGCCGUAGGCGAAGCUGCUGUGUCAGCUCGUGUCGUGGGAGAGAGGUUGGCAAGUCCUCAGCAACGCGCGCGCAACCUUGUCAUUAUUACACAGGGGCACUCUAAUGAGACUGCCGGUGACAAACCAGAGGAAGGUGGGAUGACGUCAAGUCCUCAUGGCCCCUAAGUGGGGUAGGGCUCACAUCGUCAUACAAUGGCCGGGACAGGUCACCAACCCGGCGAGGGGAGCCAACUCAGAACCUCGAUCUAGUCCGGAUCGCAGCCUGCAACCUGACUGAAGUCGGAAUCGCUAGUAAUCGCGGACUUCAGUAUGUCGCGGUAGAAUACCUGGCCCUGUACACACCGCCCGUCACACCAUGGGAGUGGGUUUUACCAGAAGUAGUUAGCCUUAACCGUAAGGAGGGCGAUUACCACGGUAGGAUUCAUGAUUUGGGGUGAAGUCGUACGAAGGGGUAACUCAGCAUACUGAUGCCCUGCGGUGAUAAUA